UCUUAGCAAGCUCUAUGUCCUGUUCUAAUUAAGUGCUUCAUCUCAUAUUUAGCAUCUAGACGUGUCAAUGCUUUGCUUGUUGGCCUCUGGAAACUUCCAGCAAAGCCAAAGGUUCAUGAUCAAAAGUUUUGUAGAUUCUACCUCUUUUGUCUCCGACCAAGUCCCAACGGCUUUGGCUUUGGCUUUGGCUUUGGAAGAGAGCAUUAAAUUACAAGUCCGUAAGAAAUUGCCCUAUGACCUGACCCACACCGAUUAAUCAAUCUCCUACAGUAAGAAGCUCUACGAAAGAUCCAUUAAAGCUUCAAAUUAUCUAGAGUUGUGCAGAAGAUUCUACUACAGUUGAAGUGGUUUUAACGUUUCAUAAUUCCUUGUUGAGAAACGGAUUACGUACAAAUUCAGCUCCUGAAAUAUGAUCCCAGCGUCAGUACUGUCAUCGUUAUUGUUUUAAUUGUAACAAUUUAGUCCUUGAGGUUGGAUCGAAAUUAUAUAUAGUUUGAUCAUUAUAUAUUUGUCCUCAGUGCUUUAAUUUUUAACCCCAAUUAAAAAAAGAAAGGUUCAGCAAUA